GACGAACGCUGGCGGCGUGCUUAACACAUGCAAGUCGAACGGAAAGGCCUCUUUCGGGGGGUACUCGAGUGGCGAACGGGUGAGUAACACGUGAGUAACCUGCCCUUGACUUUGGGAUAACUUCAGGAAACUGGGGCUAAUACCGGAUAGGAGCUCCUGCUGCAUGGUGGGGGUUGGAAAGUUUCGGCGGUUGGGGAUGGACUCGCGGCUUAUCAGCUUGUUGGUGGGGUAGUGGCUUACCAAGGCUUUGACGGGUAGCCGGCCUGAGAGGGUGACCGGCCACAUUGGGACUGAGAUACGGCCCAGACUCCUACGGGAGGCAGCAGUGGGGAAGAUUGCACAAUGGGUGGAAGCCUGAUGCAGCAACGCCGUGUGCGGGAUGACGGCCUUCGGGUUGGAAACCGCUUUCGCUCAUGACGAAGCUUUGUGUGACGGCAGUGGGUAAAGAAGCACCGGCUAACUACGUG
rnacentral:rRNA from 1 species